CUUUCCUUCGGAGACAUCCGAUAAAAUUGGAAUGAAACAGAAGAUUAACAUGACCUCUACACAAGGAUAACUCGUACAAAUCAAGAAAUGGUCCAAUUUUUC